AUUGAACGCUGGCGGCAGGCCUAACACAUGCAAGUCGAACGAGUGGCGGACGGGUGAGUAAUGUCUGGGAGACUGCCCGAUGGAGGGGGAUAACUACUGGAAACGGUAGCUAAUACCGCAUACCAUCGGAUGUGCCCAGAGGGGAUUAGCUUGUAGGUGGGGUAACGGCUCACCUAGGCGACGAUCCCUAGCUGGUCUGAGAGGGUGACCAGCAACACUGGAACUGAGACACGGGCCAGACGCCUACGGGAGGCAGCAGUGGGGAAGAUGGAACAAUGGGGGCAAGCCGGAUGCAGCCAGGCCGCGUGUAUGAAGAAGGCCUUCGGGUUGUAAAGUACGUUCAGCGGGGAGGCGUUACCCGCAGAAGAAGCACCGGCUAACUCCGUGCCAGCAGCCGCGGUAAUAC
rnacentral:rRNA from 1 species